rnacentral:tRNA from 2 species
GUCCCCAUCGUCUAGAGGCCUAGGACACCUCCCUUUCACGGAGGAUGCAGGGGUUCGAAUCCCCUUGGGGACGCCA